rnacentral:rRNA from 1 species
UGGGGAAUAUUGGGCAAUGGGGGAAACCCUGACCCAGCAACGCCGCGUGAGCGAAGAAGGUUUUCGGAUUGUAAAGCUCUGUCCUAUGGGACGAAAAAAAUGACGGUACCAUAGGAGGAAGCCCCGGCUAACUACGUGCCAGCAGCCGCGGUAAUACGUAGGGGGCGAGCGUUGUCCGGAAUUACUGGGCGUAAAGGGUGCGUAGGCGGCAGACUAAGUCUUGUGUGAAAUACCCGGGCUCAACCCGGGGGUUGCAUGGGAAACUGGACUGCUUGAGUACAGGAGAGGCAAGCGGAAUUCCUAGUGUAGCGGUGAAAUGCGUAGAUAUUAGGAGGAACACCAGUGGCGAAGGCGGCUUGCUGGACUGAAACUGACGCUGAGGCACGAAAGCGUGGGGAGCAAACA